rnacentral:misc_RNA from 1 species
GCAAACUUGGUCAUUUAGAGGAAGUAAAAGUCGUAACAAGGUCUCCGUAGGUGAACCAGCGGAGGGAUCAUUAUAGAGUUGACCCUAACUCCUACCCUUUGUGAAAUUACCUUUUAUGUUGCUUCGGUAGGCCUUAUCAGGUCUGCCGGGGGUCUAUAUAAUUCUGUUUUGCGAUUUGGUACUCUGAAACUACGUGGGAAAAUGAAGUUAAAACUUUCAACAACGGAUCUCUUGGUUCUGGCAUCGAUGAAGAACGCAGC